rnacentral:misc_RNA from 1 species
AACAAGGCGUACCUGCGGACCUGCGGAAGGAUCAUUACAGAGUUGCAAGACUCCCUAAACCAUUGUGAACCUACCUUCUACCGUUGCUUCGGCGGGCGGGCCCAGCGCCCCCCCGGCCCCCCGCGGGCGCCCGCCGGAGGAUACCCAAACUCUUGACAUUAGUGGCCUCUCUGAGUAUUCUUUACUGAAUAAGUCAAAACUUUUAACAACGGAUCU